GGGUUGUGAGGUUAAGCGACUAAGCGUACACGGUGGAUGCCCUGGCAGUCAGAGGCGAUGAAGGACGUGCUAAUCUGCGAAAAGCGUCGGUAAGGUGAUAUGAACCGUUAUAACCGGCGAUGUCCGAAUGGGGAAACCCAGUGUGAUUCGUCACACUAUCGUUAACUGAAUACAUAGGUUAACGAGGCGAACCGGGGGAACUGAAACAUCUAAGUACCCCGAGGAAAAGAAAUCAACCGAGAUUCCCCCAGUAGCGGCGAGCGAACGGGGAGCAGCCCAGAGUCUGAAUCAGCUUGUGUGUUAGUGGAACGGUCUGGAAAGUCCGACGGUACAGGGUGAUAGUCCCGUACACCAAAAUGCACAGGCUGUGAACUCGAAGAGUAGGGCGGGACACGUGGUAUCCUGUCUGAAUAUGGGGGGACCAUCCUCCAAGGCUAAAUACUCCUGACUGACCGAUAGUGAACCAGUACCGUGAGGGAAAGGCGAAAAGAACCCCGGCGAGGGGAGUGAAAAAGAACCUGAAACCGUGUACGUACAAGCAGUGGGAGCACCUUCGGGUGUGACUGCGUACCUUUUGUAUAAUGGGUCAGCGACUUAUAUUCUGUAGCAAGGUUAACCGUAUAGGGGAGCCGCAGGGAAACCGAGUCUUAACUGGGCGUUAAGUUGCAGGGUAUAGACCCGAAACCCGGUGAUCUAGCCAUGGGCAGGUUGAAGGUUGGGUAACACUAACUGGAGGACCGAACCGACUAAUGUUGAAAAAUUAGCGGAUGACUUGUGGCUGGGGGUGAAAGGCCAAUCAAACCGGGAGAUAGCUGGUUCUCCCCGAAAGCUAUUUAGGUAGCGCCUCGUGAAUUCAUCUUCGGGGGUAGAGCACUGUUUCGGCUAGGGGGUCAUCCCGACUUACCAACCCGAUGCAAACUACGAAUACCGAAGAAUGUUAUCACGGGAGACACACGGCGGGUGCUAACGUCCGUCGUGAAGAGGGAAACAACCCAGACCGCCAGCUAAGGUCCCAAAGUCAUGGUUAAGUGGGAAACGAUGUGGGAAGGCACAGACAGCCAGGAUGUUGGCUUAGAAGCAGCCAUCAUUUAAAGAAAGCGUAAUAGCUCACUGGUCGAGUCGGCCUGCGCGGAAGAUGUAACGGGGCUAAACCAUGCACCGAAGCUGCGGCAGCGACACUAUGUGUUGUUGGGUAGGGGAGCGUUCUGUAAGCCUGCGAAGGUGACCUGUGAGGGUUGCUGGAGGUAUCAGAAGUGCGAAUGCUGACAUAAGUAACGAUAAAGCGGGUGAAAAGCCCGCUCGCCGGAAGACCAAGGGUUCCUGUCCAACGUUAAUCGGGGCAGGGUGAGUCGACCCCUAAGGCGAGGCCGAAAGGCGUAGUCGAUGGGAAACAGGUUAAUAUUCCUGUACUUGGUGUUACUGCGAAGGGGGGACGGAGAAGGCUAUGUUAGCCGGGCGACGGUUGUCCCGGUUUAAGCAUGUAGGCUGGUUAUCCAGGCAAAUCCGGAUAAUCAAGGCUGAGGUGUGAUGACGAGGCACUACGGUGCUGAAGUAACAAAUGCCCUGCUUCCAGGAAAAGCCUCUAAGCAUCAGGUAACAUCAAAUCGUACCCCAAACCGACACAGGUGGUCAGGUAGAGAAUACCAAGGCGCUUGAGAGAACUCGGGUGAAGGAACUAGGCAAAAUGGUGCCGUAACUUCGGGAGAAGGCACGCUGGUGUGUAGGUGAAGUCCCUGCGGAUGGAGCUGAGACCAGUCGAAGAUACCAGCUGGCUGCAACUGUUUAUUAAAAACACAGCACUGUGCAAACACGAAAGUGGACGUAUACGGUGUGACGCCUGCCCGGUGCCGGAAGGUUAAUUGAUGGGGUUAUCCGUAAGGAGAAGCUCUUGAUCGAAGCCCCGGUAAACGGCGGCCGUAACUAUAACGGUCCUAAGGUAGCGAAAUUCCUUGUCGGGUAAGUUCCGACCUGCACGAAUGGCGUAAUGAUGGCCAGGCUGUCUCCACCCGAGACUCAGUGAAAUUGAACUCGCUGUGAAGAUGCAGUGUACCCGCGGCAAGACGGAAAGACCCCGUGAACCUUUACUAUAGCUUGACACUGAACAUUGAGCCUUGAUGUGUAGGAUAGGUGGGAGGCUUUGAAGCGUGGACGCCAGUCUGCGUGGAGCCAACCUUGAAAUACCACCCUUUAAUGUUUGAUGUUCUAACGUUGGCCCCUGACCGGGGUUGCGGACAGUGUCUGGUGGGUAGUUUGACUGGGGCGGUCUCCUCCCAAAGCGUAACGGAGGAGCACGAAGGUUAGCUAAUCCUGGUCGGACAUCAGGAGGUUAGUGCAAUGGCAUAAGCUAGCUUGACUGCGAGCGUGACGGCGCGAGCAGGUGCGAAAGCAGGUCAUAGUGAUCCGGUGGUUCUGAAUGGAAGGGCCAUCGCUCAACGGAUAAAAGGUACUCCGGGGAUAACAGGCUGAUACCGCCCAAGAGUUCAUAUCGACGGCGGUGUUUGGCACCUCGAUGUCGGCUCAUCACAUCCUGGGGCUGAAGUAGGUCCCAAGGGUAUGGCUGUUCGCCAUUUAAAGUGGUACGCGAGCUGGGUUUAGAACGUCGUGAGACAGUUCGGUCCCUAUCUGCCGUGGGCGCUGGAGAAUUGAGGGGGGCUGCUCCUAGUACGAGAGGACCGGAGUGGACGCAUCACUGGUGUUCGGGUUGUCAUGCCAAUGGCACUGCCCGGUAGCUAAAUGCGGAAGAGAUAAGUGCUGAAAGCAUCUAAGCACGAAACUUGCCCCGAGAUGAGUUCUCCCUGAGACUUUAAGUCUCCUGAAGGAACGUUAAAGACGAUGACGUUGAUAGGCCGGGUGUGUAAGCGCAGCGAUGCGUUGAGCUAACCGGUACUAAUGAACCGUGAGGCUUAACCUUACAACGCCGAAG
rnacentral:rRNA from 1 species